rnacentral:rRNA from 1 species
GACGAACGCUGGCGGCGUGCUUAACACAUGCAAGUCGAACGAAGAGCGAUGGAAGCUUGCUUCUAUCAAUCUUAGUGGCGAACGGGUGAGUAACGCGUAAUCAACCUGCCCUUCAGCGGGGGACAACAGUUGGAAACGACUGCUAAUACCGCAUACGAUCUAAUCCUGGCAUCGAGGAUAGAUGAAAGGUGGCCUCAACAUGUAAGCUAUCACUGAAGGAGGGGUUUGCGUCUGAUUAGCUAGUUGGAGGGGUAACGGCCCACCAAGGCGAUGAUCAGUAGCCGGUCUGAGAGGAUGAACGGCCACAUUGGGACUGAGACACGGCCCAGACUCAAACGGGAGGCAGCAGUGGGGAAGCUUCAGCAAUGGACGAAAGUCUGACGGAGCAACGCCGCGUGAGCGAUGACGGCCUUCGGGUUGUAAAGCUCUGUUAAUCGGGACGAAAGGCCUUCUUGCGAAUAGUGAGAAGGAUUGACGGUACCGGAAGAGAAAGCCACGGCUAACUACGUG